rnacentral:rRNA from 1 species
AUACGGAGGGUGCGAGCGUUAAUCGGAAUUACUGGGCGUAAAGCGCGCGUAGGCGGUUUGGUCAGUCGGAUGUGAAAGCCCUAGGCUCAACCUGGGAAUGGUAUUCGAUACUGCCUGACUAGAGUAUGGUAGAGGGAAGUGGAAUUUCCGGUGUAGCGGUGAAAUGCGUAGAUAUCGGAAGGAACACCAGUGGCGAAGGCGACUUCCUGGGCCAAUACUGACGCUGAGGUGCGAAAGCGUGGGGAGCAAACAGGAUUAGAUACCCCGGUAGUCC